UACGGAGGGGGCUAGCGUUGUUCGGAAUUACUGGGCGUAAAGCGCACGUAGGCGGCUUUCUAAGUCAGGGGUGAAAUCCUGGAGCUCAACUCCAGAACUGCCUUUGAUACUGGAGAGCUUGAGUCCGGAAGAGGUGAGUGGAACUCCGAGUGUAGAGGUGAAAUUCGUAGAUAUUCGGAAGAACACCAGUGGCGAAGGCGGCUCACUGGUCCGGUACUGACGCUGAGGUGCGAAAGCGUGGGGAGCAAACAGG
rnacentral:rRNA from 1 species